CCUGAACGCUGGCGGCGUGGCUAAGACAUGCAAGUCGCACGGUGUAGCAAUACACAGUGGCGAACGGGAGAGUAAUGAAUCGCUAAUGUACCCCGGACUCUGGGAUAGCUAUCCGAAAGGGUAGGUAAUACCAGAUGAGACCACGGUCAGGCAUCUGACUGUGCUCAAAGGUCCGCCGGUCUGGGAGCAGGCGAUUUCGUAUCAGCUAGUUGGGAGGUAACGGCUCACCAAGGCGACGACGCGUAGCCGGACUGAGAGGUUGGCCGGCCUCAUUGGGACUGAGACACUGCCCAGACUCCUACGGGGGCUGCAGUAACGAAUCUUCCGCAAUGCACGAAAGUGUGACGGAGCGACGCCGCGUGUGGGAC
rnacentral:rRNA from 1 species